rnacentral:rRNA from 1 species
AGUGAACGCUGGCGGUAGGCCUAACACAUGCAAGUCGAACGGCAGCACAGUAAGAGCUUGCUCUUACGGGUGGCGAGUGGCGGACGGGUGAGGAAUACAUCGGAAUCUACUUUUUCGUGGGGGAUAACGUAGGGAAACUUACGCUAAUACCGCAUACUACCUACGGGUGAAAGCAGGGGAUCUUCGGACCUUGCGCGAUUGAAUGAGCCGAUGUCGGAUUAGCUAGUUGGCGGGGUAAAGGCCCACCAAGGCGACGAUGCGUAGCUGGUCUGAGAGGAUGAUCAGCCACACUGGAACUGAGACACGGUCCAGACUCCUACGGGAGGCAGCAGUGGGGAAUAUUGGACAAUGGGCGCAAGCCUGAUCCAGCCAUACCGCGUGGGUGAAGAAGGCCUUCGGGUUGUAAAGCCCUUUUGUUGGGAAAGAAAAGCAGCAGGUUAAUACCCCGCUGUUCUGACGGUACCCAAAGAAUAAGCACCGGCUAACUUCGUG